CCAUCCCCUUCCGCGUGGAAAUAUCUGCUGCCCCCUCUCCUUCCACUUCAUCCCUCUGCGCCGCCUUCUCUCCUCCCGAUUCGCAUCUUCCCCCAAUCCCCGCCUCCUCUCUUCCUCCCCAAUCCCCGCCCAACGAUCCGCAGAGUAGAGAACCAAGAAGGAGGAGGGACGUGAAGUGGAGAAGAGGGGGUGCGGCAGAGGAGACCUAGGCGGCGGCUCGAGCAGAGGAGCGGGGCCUCGAGAUGCCGCGUCCAUCGCUCACCCGCCUCAAACCAACCGCCGCCAUGGAGAACGACGAACAGUAGGGGAGGCCCGUGGUGGAGGGAGGAGCUAUGGGCACCAUGCUGGGAUGGCCCGCUGAUCUAUGACCCGUCCCCGUCGUCUUGGGUGUGGCUUGCUUGGUGCCAUACUGCUGUGCCCGAUGCACGGCCGGGCUGCCGGGGCACGGUGGACGUGCGUGUGUCACUCCGUGGGGUUGCUGCCGCGUCGCGUGCGUCUGCCAUGCCCAGGCUGCUGAGUGCCCUUCUUCCUUGUCUCCGCCCCGUUGCACCCUCUCCUCAUGGCCGCCUAGCUUCCUUCGACUGACCUCUGCUGCGGUCUGUUGCGGUGGCCUCCUUUGCUCUAUGGGCACCACUGGUUGGGUUCGUGUUGUUGUUCUUCUUGUGUUCUUCCCCACGCCUCUCUUCUUGCUUCGCUCUACUAAUUUCACAUAGUUGGGCCCCUUUCGAUUGUGUGCAACUUGGUUCGACUUGCCGUUGUCGCCUGCGUCGAGCCGUGGGUCUUUCUAUCCUCGUUCUGGUUGUUUUCCUCGUUUGUCCUGAUGUUUGGAUUGCGUGCUCCUCCUUCCUAGCUUUGGUUGUACGAUCUCGCCCGUUGCUGCUUGCCAUUUGGUUACGUGGUACAGUGUGAAUCCGGUGGCUGCCCAGAUCUGAACUGCACGUGGGGGCCGGUGUUCUCGGCCAGAUUUGGGCAUUCUUGCUGACUUUCUGUCUAACCUAUCCACAAGUUGUAUGAUCUUUUCCGUUGCUGCAUCUCUGUUCUGCUCGUUGCUUCAUCGCCGUUACAAUUUUUGAGAUAUCUAAGCUGACGUCUCGAAUAGUUCAGAACAGUCAGUCGGAACUGCAGGAGUCAUCUUCACCUUAAUCUAAAAUAAGAAGGUUUUCCUUUUGCUAGAUUUCUGAAAAAUCUGCAGUGGAGUAAGCGCUGGCAUUACCUAUUGCUCUGGUUUUUGAAGUUAAUUGCAGCUGGCAAAGCUUGCACCGAUGUUUUGAGUUCCAUCUUUCGCUGUGUGGAAGCUACUGAAUUCUAUAGUAGUGGAACACUUGUUCUGGUCUGGUCAUCUUGUAAUUUUCCUUUUUGCAGCUUAACUAUUGUAGGGUAGACAGACUCUAUACAUACUGAAGAAAUGUGCCCAUCCGACAGUCCUCACAGUUGUAGACUUGUAGUGAUAGCUUUGGGUACUGUAUGCACUCUUUCAUGUAAUUGUGCUACCCCGGCGAAAUUUAUAAUUAUGAUCUCACAUACUUCAACUUAGAUCUCAGGAAGCGUGGGUGCACUACAUUGUGGAAUGAAGGGAGCAUCUUAUACUGAGUUUAUGAGGAAACAACUGGACUGAUGUUAAUAAUCCAGUGUUGACAAUAAAAGAAGGUGGAAGCACAUUGAGUGGCUUUAGUUUUGUUACCGGACGUACAAUGUACCUUUACUGCACUGUUAUGGAUUCAGAUAAACUGGGCGUGGUGCAUGCCUUUGUAUUGUGUUCGUGAAUGUUGCUUUCUCCAUGUCAAGUCUUUUGUUCUUAGAAAAAAACUCUUUUGUUGCAUCCACAUUAACCAUAUAUAUUUCUAUUUCUUUUGUUCGAAUUGUAACUUGUUGGUACAAAAUAAAGGC
rnacentral:rRNA from 1 species